rnacentral:rRNA from 1 species
AUUGAACGCUGGCGGCAGGCCUAACACAUGCAAGUCGAGCGGAGCGGCGGACGGGUGAGUAAUGCCUAGGAAUGUGCCUCGGAGUGGGGGAUAACGUUCGGAAACGGGCGCUGAUACCGCAUACUCUCAGCUGAGCCUAGGUCGGAUUAGCUAGGUGGUGGGGUAAAGGCCUACCAAGGCGACGAUCCGUAACUGGUCUGAGAGGAUGAUCAGUCACACUGGAACUGAGACACGGUCCAGACUCCUACGGGAGGCAGCAGUGGGGAAUAUUGUACAAUGGGCGAAAGCCUGAUACAGCCAUGCCGCGUGUAUGAAGAAGGCCUUCGGAUUGUAAAGUACUUUAAGUUGGGAGGCGUUACCAACAGAAUAAGCACCGGCUAACUCCGUGCCAGCAGCCGCGGUAAUAC